CAAGUCCUGAUCCAGGGGCAACAGCUCAGCUGCCUGGGGUCAGAGUGAAAAGAGGCUGGGAAGAAGCUGGUUUUGAAGGAACUGGGUAGGACUCAGUCAACGUUCCCUGCCCUGCUGCCCGGCCCUGCGGCCGUGCAUGUGAGCACAUGUGGCCCCGGCCCCAGCCCAGCCCAGACCCCUGGCCAAGUGGGAUUCAGCCGGGCCUCGCUGGAAACAGCAGCUCUGCCUCCGCAAGACCUGCAUUUGGUUGCUAAUCUCCAUGAUGUUCCCAAUGAUCUCCACUGGGCCCGCCAGGUUCUUCUUCCGUGCUGGCAGGUCUUCCUUGGCCUUCUUCAGAAGGAUGAACACAUUGAGACCAACUGGGAUGAUAUCUCUUAAGAAGAGUGACUGAGUGGGGGAAGAUCCACACUAUGCAGAAGUAGCAGACGGAUCAAGUUCAUGGAACAAGUCCACAAACAGACGAACGCUAAUGAGGACCUUCCUUCCUUUCAUUGAUGUUUUUUUUUAGAGAGACAAAGGAAGGGCGAGGAAGAAAGAGAGAGACAUAUAGAGAAAUCUAUUAUUCACCUUAAAUACGCAUUCAUUGGUUGAUUCUUGUAUGUGCCCUGACUGGGAACCAAACCUACAAUCUUGGCGACCCUGGACAACAUUCUAACCAACCGAGCUACCUGGGCAGUGCAAAUUUAAAUUUUUUGAACAUUUCAAAUUCAUGUGGUAAGGAUGGAUUAUUCAGUAAUUGAUUUGGGGACACCUGAUUAUCUAGUUAGGAAGAACAAGUGAGACACUGGCCUCAUGCCCUAUAGUAAAAUUAAAAAUGCAAGUUGUCAGUAUUUGCCUAAUCUCAAGGGGUUGAGAAACCUAUCUAAAUGGGAUUCCAAAGGCUGAAACCAUACACGAAAAGACUAAAGCACGUGACAGGAUAAAAUGAAAACCUUUGGGACUGGAAAACAAAACCCGAAAACUCCUAAAUGGGAGAAAAGGCGAAACGCCAGGCUGCCUUAAUUUACUGCUUGAUGACUUCUGAAAACAAGCUGUCCCCUUUUUUCUCAAGUGGUGCUGAGCUUCUACCCAAACCCGCUUCCCAGCCCAGCAGCUGUCACUGCCCCUGAGUUGGUUGUAAUGUCCCCGUCUGCUUCCUGGGACACAGCUGGCUCUCUGGAAUGGCUCCUCCAUGACAGAUGUCUGACAGUCCCCUCUCCUGCCUCCCCACCCGACCUUGCUGUGGGGGUCUCAUUAGGUGGAAAAAAAGGAAUGUGCAAGUUAAAGCUUCUGUCGAGGACGUGUCUCGAGCCUUGCUGGAGGGGCAGGAGAAAGGGCAGGAGAAGGGAGAGGCCGGUGUGGGACCUGGGAGGCAGACAUCCGCGAACAGAUGAUGGAAGUCAGGGAGCUGACAGACAGGCACAGGACUUCGGGGCAGGAUGGCAACAACUGGUCGAGAUGCCUCCUCUUACAGGAGGCGACCGCCGAGGCUCUGGAAAGCGAAGCAGGUAGCGGGGGUCACACAGCUAGCUGGUGGCGGCAUCUGGCUCAG